rnacentral:lncRNA from 1 species
AGAAACUCACAAAGCAGGGGUGAGACCUCUGCUCGACAGCAAAGGCAGGCAGCGUCCCUCAUCCCUGCACCACGAGGGCGUCACAGCCCCUUCCCGGGUGGCCACAGCCACAGGGCACCCUGCGCCCUCUCCGGGCCUCGCCUUCCUCUUCUGAAACAGGACGGUGAUCUCAUCCCCCUCACAGGCUGAUGCAGAGACCUAAGGAGCACACUGGCUGUACACGGAGGAAAGCACCUCGGUUUCCUGAAGCAGUGUGGCAUUCGAGUCUGAUUUCCAGCAACUCCACUGCCCCCGCAGCCAGACUUUGCAUGAGCAGAGUUCGCAAACCUUCUAGAAUCUGGCGAGGAACAGAGGAAAUCAGCUAAAGGGCGUAACAGGAAGUGGGGCCUGGACCGGGAACCUGGUUCCUCCGCUCUUUCCCUAUAGGUACAGAAGGAACAGGCCCAGGAAUGAGUAAGAAUGUUUUUCUCUACAAAUAACUCACACCCAAGCCUCAAGCAGGGUUAGGGAGUGAGGCAUUGUGUCAUCACCUACCACAGGAAGCCCAGAGCCAGGGCAGACUCCAGACACGGCACGCAGGGUUGUGACUCUACACACCUGGCGCCUGGGGCACUGGUGUCUUCCAGGCAGCUCUGCCAGGUGUCACAUCUGGACAAGACAGAGAGGUACUAUCUUCCCCUUAGGAGUGAUGAACUCCUUUCCAGAAGCUUCCUGCAGGCUUCUCCUCAUGCCUCACGUCUAGAAUAGAGUGAUCUGCAUGUUCCAAGAACAGUCACUGGUUGGAGAGUUGGUAUCACCGUGACUGGGUGAGCCUGAUGGCUCUAAACUCUGGCUGUACAUCAGAAGCACACACUGAGCUUCUGAAAAGGAGAGGCCUGGGCCCCACUUCCAGAGAUUCAGUUCAAUGGAUCUCCUGUAGUACCUGAGCAUCAGAACUUCGUAGCCCCCGAAGGUGCAUGCUACGGCCAGAAAGAAACUCAGGGAAAAAUGGAUGUUGCAGAGACGUCGCCACAAAUGAAACCCACAGCGACAGGAGAAAGCGGCUCGCGUCCCGUUGAAGAAGAUGCUUCCCUGGAUUACUGUGCAGAGUUGAAGCUUUACCUUUCACCUGGAGAACGCGUGGUUCUGUGACCAAAACAGUGGCAGCUCCUCCACCAGCCCCUGCUGCUCCCAUCCCUUCCAGGGAAGAAACUUUUGUUUCUGUGAUGCCAGCGCAGGCAUUCAGAGCAAAGCCACUUCCAGGAAAUUCUAAGAAUGAGGUGCGGGCACCACUGGGCUGGCGCAUGAGAGUCAUGUGCCUCAGACUCCACGCCCCCUGCUGACCGUGCCCACAGGCUCCCAGGUUAUCUGUGGCGGAGGUCAGGGUCUGCUGGGCAGGGUCAGGGAUGUCUGGUUGGGCUGAAGCAGAUGCAGGGGUCCUGCGGUCACCACUGCCUCCGAUGAAGCUCUGAAUGGUCUUCUCUGUUCUUCCAUACGGUCAUGUGCCACACAACAACAUUUCCAACCACAGACAGCGUAUACUAUGGUUGUCCUGUAAGAGUAUAAGGGAGCUGAAAAAUUCCUAUCAUGUGAUGACAUUGUAGCCACCUCAACGUCUUAGCACAAUUAUAUAUAUAUACACACACACAUAUAUAUACUUUAUAUGUAGAGAGAGAGAGUGUGGCCUACGUGUGCAGUGUUUAUAAAGUCUGCAGUAGUCAUAGUGAUGUCCUAGGUCUUCACAUUCACUCCCGACUCACCCACUGACUCACAAGAGCAGCUGCCAGUCCUGCAAGCUCCACUCAUGAUUAGCCUUCGAGCUUCCUGAGAACUGAGACAACGAGGUCCCCUCCAUCUUUGAGUCAGCCUGGCCUCGGGGACAGAGGAUGGAUUUUGGAGUCGGACAAGCCCCGGCUGAGGCUCCCUUCAGUCAUGACCUUCCAAGACGAGAAGCUUCACGGCAGGCAAUGAACAGAGACGGCGUCAUCUCCAAGGCUCAGUGGAGCGAGUCACGUCACCCUCACUUAGCUGCAUGGCGCAUACCAUGAGUCUUGACCAUCACCCGUGGCUUCAUAAAAACUGACCUUUAUUCAGUGAGACCUUCCUGAGUGUCCGUGCUGCGUUUAACUCUUUGAAACAUAAUCUCAUUUAGUCCUCACAGCAUCACCCAGGAGGGAGAUACUAUCUUCAUUCCCGUUUUGCAGAGUCCCCCUCAGCACAGGUGAGCUGAGGACAAUGAGGAUGGCCAAGAGGCCGGUGCAUCUGAGGCACUUGCACGUGGGCUGCUCUGCCACUGAGGACUUCCAUGAGGACUCUGGAGGAAACCUGUUGAUUUGACUUAUUUUGCUAGAUGAUGUUGAAACAGGAGAGUUCCCUGAGACCCCUUGCAGGACAAGCAAAAGCGGUGUGGCUUGUCUGUUCAUGCGGCACCUGCUCAAAAGCCUUAUGGGAGGGGGAGCACGCAGAUGGGCUGGUGCAAGAGCUGGGGUGAACACCCCUGGGCUCCAGUCCCAUGGAAGCAUCCAGGAGUGUGUGCCUGAGGCUCCUGAAGCCCAAGUGGGCGUGUGUUACAGUGCACUCUUUUAGCUUUGCCAUCCACAGACGGCUUAAGUGUUAACCAGCUCAGUGCCCCCUUAAUACCCAGGUCCUUGUCCCAUGUCCAGGAAGAAUCAGGUCACACACGGACUUGAAGGAUGAAUGCAGGGAUUUUAUUGGGUGGUAGAGGCGGCUUUCACUGGGAUGGAUGGGGAGCUGGAAGGAGGAGGGAGUGGGAAGAUUAUCUUACCCUGGAAUUUGGCCAUCAUCGGCUGAUCUCCUCUCUUACUAUCCCCAGUCGAACACCCCUCGACAUUCAGAUGCCCCUUGUCUUCUUUCUGCUGAGCCAUUCUGCUGAUCUUCUGCUCUUCAGUUCAUCUCCUUGACUGCUAGUGGAACUUGUGGGUUGGGGUUUAUAUGGGUACAGGAUGGGGGCCAUGGUGGGCCAGAAGGCAACUUUUGGGCAUGAAAACGAGAAUGCUCAUUCUCGUGUAAGGCUGCAGGUUUCCAGGUUUGAGGCUGGGGCCUUUGCCAGGGAACCGCCCGCUUCUACCCAGUAUUUCCCUGUCUUCUGUCUAUAUCUGUUUAUGACAGUCUACUUGGUCAGAAUAAAGUGAAUCCAGAAGAAACA